GCCUGCAUAGUGUAGUGGUUUGAGCACUGGACUACAACUCUAGAGACCUGAGUUCGAAUCCCAGUUCAGCCA